rnacentral:rRNA from 1 species
GAUGAACGCUGGCGGCGUGCCUAAUACAUGCAAGUCGAGCGAACGGACGAGAAGCUUGCUUCUCUGAUGUUAGCGGCGGACGGGUGAGUAACACGUGGAUAACCUACCUAUAAGACUGGGAUAACUUCGGGAAACCGGAGCUAAUACCGGAUAAUAUUUUGAACCGCAUGGUUCAAAAGUGAAAGACGGUCUUGCUGUCACUUAUAGAUGGAUCCGCGCUGCAUUAGCUAGUUGGUAAGGUAACGGCUUACCAAGGCAACGAUGCAUAGCCGACCUGAGAGGGUGAUCGGCCACACUGGAACUGAGACACGGUCCAGACUCCUACGGGAGGCAGCAGUAGGGAAUCUUCCGCAAUGGGCGAAAGCCUGACGGAGCAACGCCGCGUGAGUGAUGAAGGUCUUCGGAUCGUAAAACUCUGUUAUUAGGGAAGAACAUAUGUGUAAGUAACUGUGCACAUCUUGACGGUACCUAAUCAGAAAGCCACGGCUAACUACGUGCCAGCAGCCGCGGUAAUACGUAGGUGGCAAGCGUUAUCCGGAAUUAUUGGGCGUAAAGCGCGCGUAGGCGGUUUUUUAAGUCUGAUGUGAAAGCCCACGGCUCAACCGUGGAGGGUCAUUGGAAACUGGAAAACUUGAGUGCAGAAGAGGAAAGUGGAAUUCCAUGUGUAGCGGUGAAAUGCGCAGAGAUAUGGAGGAACACCAGUGGCGAAGGCGACUUUCUGGUCUGUAACUGACGCUGAUGUGCGAAAGCGUGGGGAUCAAACAGGAUUAGAUACCCUGGUAGUCCACGCCGUAAACGAUGAGUGCUAAGUGUUAGGGGGUUUCCGCCCCUUAGUGCUGCAGCUAACGCAUUAAGCACUCCGCCUGGGGAGUACGACCGCAAGGUUGAAACUCAAAGGAAUUGACGGGGACCCGCACAAGCGGUGGAGCAUGUGGUUUAAUUCGAAGCAACGCGAAGAACCUUACCAAAUCUUGACAUCCUUUGACAACUCUAGAGAUAGAGCUUUCCCCUUCGGGGGACAAAGUGACAGGUGGUGCAUGGUUGUCGUCAGCUCGUGUCGUGAGAUGUUGGGUUAAGUCCCGCAACGAGCGCAACCCUUAAGCUUAGUUGCCAUCAUUAAGUUGGGCACUCUAAGUUGACUGCCGGUGACAAACCGGAGGAAGGUGGGGAUGACGUCAAAUCAUCAUGCCCCUUAUGAUUUGGGCUACACACGUGCUACAAUGGACAAUACAAAGGGCAGCGAAACCGCGAGGUCAAGCAAAUCCCAUAAAGUUGUUCUCAGUUCGGAUUGUAGUCUGCAACUCGACUACAUGAAGCUGGAAUCGCUAGUAAUCGUAGAUCAGCAUGCUACGGUGGAUACGUUCCCGGGUCU